rnacentral:rRNA from 1 species
UACGAAGGGUGCAAGCGUUACUCGGAAUUACUGGGCGUAAAGGGUGCGUAGGUGGUUUUUUAAGUCCGUUGUGAAAUCCCUGGGCUCAACCUGGGAAUGGCAGUGGAUACUGGAAAGCUAGAGUGCGGUAGAGGGUAGUGGAAUUCCCGGUGUAGCAGUGAAAUGCGUAGAGAUCGGGAGGAACACCAGUGGCGAAGGCGGCUACCUGGACCAGCACUGACACUGAGGCACGAAAGCGUGGGGAGCAAACAGG